rnacentral:rRNA from 1 species
CUACGGGGGGCACCAGUGAGGAAUAUUGCACAAUGGAGGAAACUCUGAUGCAGCAACGCCGCGUGGAGGAUGACACUUUUCGGAGCGUAAACUCCUUUUAUAUAGGAAGAAGAUGACGGUACAAUAUGAAUAAGCGCCGGCUAACUCCGUGCCAGCAGCCGCGGUAAUACGGAGGGCGCAAGCGUUACUCGGAAUCACUGGGCGUAAAGAGCGUGUAGGCGGAUUAAAAAGUCAAAAGUGAAAUCCUAUAGCUUAACUAUAGAACUGCUUCUGAAACUCUUAAAUCUAGAAUAUGGGAGAGGUAGAUGUAAUUUCUGGUGUAGGGGUAAAAUCCGUAGAGAUCAGAAGGAAUACCGAUUGCGAAGGCGAUCUACUAGAACAUUAUUGACGCUGAGACGCGAAAGCGUGGGGAGCAAACAGGAUUAGAUACCCCGGUAGUC